rnacentral:misc_RNA from 1 species
CCUAGAGUUGUAGGCUUUGCCUGCUAUCUCUUACCCAUGUCUUUUGAGUACCUUACGUUUCCUCGGUGGGUUCCGCCAGCCGAUUGGACAAUUUAAACCCUUUGCAGCUGCAAUCAGCGUCUGAAAAACUUAAUAGUUA